rnacentral:rRNA from 1 species
CAAAUCUUAGCGGUGGAUCACUCGGUUCGUGGAUCGAUGAAGAACGCAGCUAGCUGCGAUAAAUAGUGCGAAUUGCAGACACAUUGAGCACUAAAAUUUCGAACGCACAUUGCGCCAUCGGGUUCAUUCCCGUUGGCACGUCUGGCUGAGGGUCAGA